rnacentral:rRNA from 1 species
CCUACGGGAGGCAGCAGUGAGGAAUAUUGGUCAAUAGGCGGAAGCCUGAACCAGCCAAGUAGCGUGCGGGAUGAAGGCCCUACGGGUCGUAAACCGCUUUUGCACGGGGAUAACACCCUCCACUUGUGGAGGUCUGCAGGUACCGUGCGAAUAAGGGCCGGCUAAUUCCGUGCCAGCAGCCGCGGUAAUACGGAAGGCCCGAGCGUUAUCCGGAUUCAUUGGGCUUAAAGGGAGCGUAGGCGGGCGUUAAAGUCAGCUGUAAAAUCGCGGGGCUCAACCGCGCCCCGCAGUUGAAACUGGACGACUUGAGUUCACAACAGGCAGGCGGAAUUCGUGGUGUAGCGGUGAAAUGCAUAGAUAUCACGAGGAACCCCGAUUGCGAAGGCAGCCUGCCGGGGUGCGACUGACGCUGAGGCUCGAAGGUGCGGGUAUCAAACAGGAUUAGAUACCCCAGUAGUC